CUGGGUGUGCUUUUAGAAACUGAUGUUGGCCAGGAUAUUUUGCCUCAUUAUUUUAUGUUUCCAGUUCUGUUCUAAUUGUCCUGUCACCUUAUCUUCACACCAUUUUGUCUCCAUCUUCUGCAGCAAUUAAAAAUGUCAUUCCUUUAACCCCCGUUUUGCUGUUUCUUCUGGUGUUUUCCACACAUUUCCAUUCUCCUGCAUUUAUAAUUGUCACCAGCCUCUGUGCAAUGACCUGCGUCUGGGUACGAAACAUGAUAAAAUCAUUAAAUUGCAGCUUGCUUUACUCUGUACUUUUUUUUUUAACUACUUUUACCAUGAUGGGGUAUGUGGUUGCAUACACAAAUUCCAGGAGAUGCAGUCACCGCUGCAGCAGCGAGAUCCUGGAAGCGCCUGCUUUCUGUGCACAGAUUUCUUUUGCUAUUACACAUGGUAAAUCCUGGAAUCGCUGCAGCUUGGAAAUUGUCCCAGACAGGGCACACAAGGGAGAUUGGGUGUCACAGACUGGAAUCAACCCCACCUACAUUUAGUGACAAAAUCUUGGAUGCGAGUUCUAGCCUCAAGAUGGGAAGACAAGAGGUGCUCAGCUAGUAUUAUCUGGUAAUGUGAAGCUAACUACAGAUAGAAAAGGCUUCCUGUGUCCAGAAAAGAAGCCAUUAGAUUGGAUUAUACUGGACUGAGACAUGAAGGAUUAGUGAAGAGGCAGCCUGACAGUGCUGUUUUGCUGGUUACAAGCAUCCAAAGACCUUCCCCAAGAACUGUGUGUUUGCAAAUAGGAGUAAUUUGGAGCUCAGCUGUUAAGACUGGCUUUGGACAUUUCUGGGUGCCCAGAACUGGAGUUCCGAAGCCUGUGAACGUGUUAGCAGGUAUUCAGCACAUGCUGUGUAAGGGUAACCAGUGGCAUUGCUUCUUUCAGAGAAGUAACCUCUAAAAAUUAUAUCACUGGUCAAACAUUCUCACCUAUCUGCAUGCCCAUGAGCAGGUAUUUCUUUCUUUCAGCGUUCAUGGUGAAAUUCUGGAGAGGUACUAAGAGGACAGUCAGCACUGCUUUUAGCUUGCACGCCCAAUGGAAACUCGUACUUUGGCAUUGUCAACUCCAGGUAGGUUGGCCAUCGAGCCAAGUGCAAGCAGGACCAGAGCAAAACCUCCCCAGGCUUGGGCAAGAGAGCUGGGUGUGGGGGUGCCACGGCACACCUGAUGCUGUUGCUCAGACCACUUGCAGUGAGGCGAAGGCCUAGGCCCAGAGGCAAUGCUAAAGUCUACGGUGAAACUGCGGAGACUAUGCAGACACAACUGGUAAUUUGUUAUCUUUGAAUUAAAGUGUUGGUAGGAAUUAAGAGGGUAAUAUGUAUCACCUGCAGGUGUGCCGUAAAGAUGCUCUCUUUCUUUUUCAUAUGCUUGUAAGAUAUUUUCCUUAAUCUUCAGUGCAGUUCUCUCCCCAAACCUGGAAGUCUGAUUUGAAAUGACAAUUUGCUCCUCUUCUAGCUAAUUGGAACUAGAGCACAGAUAUUUCACAAGAGGAUAAUGAUGAGCUGGCUUCCCUGCAUCUGCUCUGUUUGUCUCCAUUUUUACGUUUAUACUGUCUCGUCUGCUCUGCAAAACUGCCAGUCAUCUCCUGGGGACACUUUCUCUGCUUGACAGCUUGUAGGACUGUCUGACUUCCCCUCCUCUCCAAUGUAUGCUGUUAGGUCCUGGGGCUGAGACACACCAUCUGGAAGCUGGACCUGUGGACAAGGCAGCUGCUCAGAAAGUGCCUUGUGGUUACAGGUCUCCUCAUUACCCCCGUUGCAACUGGUUUUGAUCUUGGAGGAGUUUGCUGCUAAUGAAGGAGCAUCGCCCUCCUUCCUCUGAGCUAUAUCCUCUUCUUGCUUGGCUCUAGAGGAGUGGUGGCUGAAUUGCUGCUGGGUCACCUCAAUCAACUCCAUUUAUUUAAAGGUUUUAUGUAGCUGAGUAUGAAAGCCUCAGUGGUGGAGGUACCACGAGGCUUCCCUUGCCUAUAGACAAUAAUUUCAUCAUAUUAGUCUUAAUGUCAGACUUCAGCAAUGGCCUUAUGCACUCCUACAACUCCCAGAAUGCAGCAGCCUUACAAGAAAAAAACACUGGACAGAAUAAUUUCUUUUUUUCAUUCCAUAAUCGUGAAAACGGGUCACAACUGACAGGUCUGAGGCAGAGAGAUUUGGAGCACUUGGUUUUCUUUUUUUUAUAGUAUUUUAUAUUGAAAUAGUGGAUGCUACUCUCAUUGCAGGAAGGGUUUUGAGAACAUCUAAAAGGUUAGGACUUUAGCUGGGCCUGAGGACACUUAUAAGCUCUGGUUUUCUGUGCUGCUCUAUCCUAUCAGAUUUCUUUUUCUUUCUUGUUGAAAUACUAACAUAUAAUUGCCUAAUUCGUAGACAUUUGCAAGGCAAGAAAUGGAACAAAGCAGCUUCUGCUCACAUACUUUGGAAACACUGACAUUACAUAAAAAUACAUAUAAAUCAAAUAAGCAUCUCAAACACCUAAAGUGACAUGUAGCCACAUUCAAUUCUUGCACUGCAAGCUGCUAAGCCUACGAAACAGAGUAAAAAUGCAAAGCACGAAGAGAAAAUGUGCCAGCCUCUUUAGAAAGCUGUGCAUAUCAUUGGCAAAGGCUGGUUUACAUUAGUGCCUCUCAGUCCUUUGACUGAUUUGUUUCUUAGGUGUAACAGCUGCCUACAGGUUGUACCUACACAAGCGAAUCGAAUGUGACACAAAGCCAGAACAUUGCGGUACAUUGCUUCUUGUACUAAUAAAUAUUUAAGGAUAAAGCCUAAGUACUUCUUCUUCAGCAUCAGAUCCUUCUCUGUUGCAACUGGCAAAAAAGAACUUGCAAAUUGCUAUGCGUAACAGAAAAUAUAUAAAAAGGAUGUUGAUAAGCUUGUGAUAAUGGGUCAUAUUUUUUUAAUUGAUUUUUGUUUCUCAGUAAAAUUCCACAAACAUUUUAUUUUAUUUAUAAUUUCUAAUAGCCAACUUUGUCCUUCUACUUAUAGGUCAACCAUGAGAGAAUGGAGAAAAAAUAACUGACCAUGCACCACACUUCAAGGUUCUUUUCUUCACGCAAGGAAGGGGAAGAAAAGCAUGUCAGCCAUUCAGGGUUGGAACAUCCCUCUCUCCUCUUCCCUCACUGAGUCUCAAGUGAGAGACUUACCCAUCUCAGACCCCAGUGAUGCUCAUCAGAAAAAUGUCCUGGCUCCAAAUGGCAAUGCCAAACCAUUUCACAAGCUCACCUUGCCAAGGCAGUUCUGUGACUCUGGGAUAAGCAAUCACGACUUUACCAGCAACCCUGAAAAUAAUAUUUGUAUAGUUCACAUGACAAACAGGCAUGGGCAGAAUGCAUUUACAAAACCAGACAAUGUUAAUUGCUUCUGGGAGUGUCUAGAGAUUACUCUACCUGAAAAUAUUUGAGGUUUUUGAUGAAAACUCAUCUAUUGUGGCACACAGACAGCAAAGCAAACAUUUCACUCAUUUCCUCUCUGGCUUUUGAAAUUAAGCAAAAAAAAAAAAAAAAAAAAAAGAGGCACAUCCAUGUUCAGGAGCCCAUUUCGAAACUCCCUAUCCAACUGUGUUGUCUUUCAUGGCUGGACAGUCUUUUGAUUGAGUAGGUCAUAAAUUUGGGGUUUACCUCUAGAAACUCAAGUGCUUAUAACUCUUGGGGCAUUUCUUGUUUGAAAAUUAGGAAUUCAGGAGAAAAAACAAAAAAAGGAGGGAGGGAAAGUAGCUCAAUAGUUUCUUCUAGGAACACCCUCUAUCCUCAAUUCUACAAUGAGAUUUGGCUUCUGUGGACAUUUUUCUCUGAGUUAAGGUAAAGUCUGUGGUGUAAAAGUCAUUGUUUCACUUGCUGUGAAUAUUCUUUCUAUCAGGAAAGACCCUCAAUCAAAGAAUAAAAUCCUAAAGCCAGUUUUUGUGUGGCAAAAUUUUUGUUGAUAAAAAAGAGAAGAAUAAAGUGAAGCAAUGACUUUCCACCAGCUUUGCCCACCUUUAUUUAAUGUGACAGGAAAUUUCCUCUGGUUCAGUGGGAGUAGGAGUAUGUUUGGCCUCACUAUGGGUUUUACUUUUAUUAUUCUGGAAUACCCAUUUAUUUUUCUCAACUACUGAAAGAAAAUUAACACAUGUAAAUAUACUUUCUUAUUUCUGAAUGCUGGUGUGGAGUUAGCUUGGGGAAAGCUUGAAAACUGAUGCUAUCAAGAUUCUGUGGAAAAAAGCAACCAUUUAAAAUUCAUAGUUUCAGGUUUUUUAUGAUACAUGAAUCCAUUCUGUUUCAUUAUAAACUAGAAGGGAUUUUUCAUUGGGAUCCCAGAAGUAAACUCGAAAUGAGAAGAUGGAACAGAGAUUCAGAAUGACUGACUGGGGGCUGUGAUCUUUACAUAGGUUAAUUAAUGCUGCAGACUGAAAGAAGACAAGGAAACAUGGCUAGGAAACAUAUUCCACAGAAAAUACAUUCUGCAGAAAUGUACAUUCACUUUAGCAGAAUCCACAUCUGACUUUCUAAAUAUCUUUGUCUGAGUUCCCAUUAGGCUUACUUAGCUAAUAUAAGUUCACCCUAAGAAUUACCCUUACAUCUUAGGUGGGAGGUAUCGAAAAUCUUGUAAAUACUGUGUUCCUUCCACACUGUCUUGCACACAGGGAUGCCUUGGGCUCUCAUUUGUGGGACAAAUCAGAAAAGAAAUAACACAGAGUUUCAGCCUUGAACAAUGCAAAAGUCUCUGCUUUCUUCUGCCAUGCACACAGACUAUGUCCCAGGACUCCAAAAGUGGAAUUCCGUAAGUAAAUACAAGAUUGGAUUGAAUUUGGUGAGUUCAUGAAGUGGAUUCUCGAUACUGAAGGACUAUAAUUUUGAAAGGUGAUUUAUGAGCUUUGAAUAUUGUUGUCAUCCUCAGUGUUACGAAACACAUGCAUCUAGCCGUGCUGCCUCACAUCCCUUCCAGCUGUUUCAAAAGAGCAGCUAUUGCCAAUCUUCAGGCAAGGUUGUUUUGCACCACAGCAGAUAUUAGAAGGAAGCCUAUGUAAUCAUUUAUAGCACGUGUGGAUCUUAGCACUGUAGCUGAAUUUUUUAGAAUAGGCUGUCAUAAAUUCUGGGAUCACAGAUUUUCAUCAUUAUUCAUGUUCUCAAUCUCAACAAGUUGAAAUAAGUGCUAAAGGACUCCCAGUAUGUGAGCAGUGAGCACUGUAUCUGACAUAUUUUGAAUGUAGUUUAAGACACAAAAAAAGGCAAAAUAAUUGUUAUGCUAAACAACAUGUAGUCACAGUCAAUAGUCCAUGAAGAAGUAAUUUAUGUAGACAUAUCAACAUUGCAAAUUUUCAAUGUCCUCUUUAAAAAGACACUGUUCUUUUUUUUUUUUUUUUUCAGAUGUGAAUGACAGAGGUCUCCGAUUCCCAAGCAAAUGCAAAAGGACCUUGAAAUAAAAUGAUGCCAUAAUGGCUUUCAGCGAUACACUCCUCCCAAGUUUUCAGCACAAUUAUAUGCUUAUUACUUUGGAAGAGUUAGAAAACAAGCAAGCUGCAGCUUUUAAUGAAGCUUUCAUAGCAGUGAGAAGAACUAUGAAAAAGCAUUUAGAGCAGCUCAUCUCCUCCUCUAUUCAGUCUCUCUUUCAUUUCCAGAGGCAGUUGCAAUGAGAAAUUGGAUGCUAUCCAGUUUGGAUUUAUAAGGAAGCAGAAAAGGAGAUAAUGGCGGAAAGGCCAGUGGGCCAUGAUGUUUUAAUAUGAGUCUGCUCUAAUCCUGUGACCUUACAUAUGCACUUGGAAAGAAAUGGUAACCUGGCUUUGUAUGCUAACACGGAACUACCACAGGAGACUGAAGAAUGAAGUCAUUGCUUUGUAGGUGCCUAAAAUUUGACCCAGGGAAUUUAACUUUGGAAAAGAUAUUGCUUGAUGCUUUGUCUGUUUUCAAAAGAAGUGUUAUUCACAGCAGAGUAUAAAACCUGAACUUGAUGAGAACAAAAUAUGGAACAUUUCUGGGUUCCCAAAAAGUUUCUGGACAGCUAUGAAGAAGUCUCAUCGUGCAGCAAGCUAUUAAUAGCAAGAGAGGGUACAAACUGCCCCAAAUCUUCCUUUUCCAGACCUUGAAAAGUCAUAAGUCUUUGGCAUUUUGAGUGACGUUGUGAAUCAAUUCCCUACUCAGGAUUUGACUUUAAAGACCCAGUACAGCCCUAAAUGUCAACUGUGUGGAAAUGGUUCCUCUAUUUGUUUGGUUUAGUUUUGGGUUUGGUUUUUUUUUUCAUCUGAAGUCUGUAUAUAUUUCACUGCUCAGAAGUCAAUGAAGGGGUUUUACAGCAGGUCUAGUAAAGUGCAGUUCUCCAAUUACAACCUAGCUGUAAAAUAUACAGUAGGUUUUUUUCCUUUUUACUUCCAGGCAAUAAGUUUUGGUCACGUCAGUUAAACCCACCUAAAAGAAGGAGAAAGAAAGAGAAAAAUGACUGUUCAGUGAACCUCAGGAGAAUUAUGAAGUUAUACAGCCUCAGAAGGAUUUUAGGCAGUUUUAUAUUGCCCAGCUCAGUUCACAUUUAUAUCAUCUGUCUCAGUGCCUGAAAUGAACUAAGCUAUGUGCUUGAUAGAGAAAAAUACCUCUACUGACUGAUGUAUCUAAAAAUUCUGGCUUCGAUAUGGCUGGAUGAAACACAGAAGAGGGUUGCUAGCUGCACAAACUUAGCUAUAAUAUUUUUCAUGUAAGAAAGAACUAGAUAAUGCUCAAAAAAAAAAAUUGUACAUGGAAGAAAACAAAGAAUCAGUAAAGAGUGAGGAUUUUUUUUUUUCUUAAACACUUCCAUGUUAACUUAGUUAUGUCCAAAUUACUGCUUGAACUUGGAGAACUGGGAGAAGGAAAGACUGCAGCAGUCUGGAAGGUUGUGCUGCAAAUGAAACUGCUGUUCUAGAUAAAAACAUAAACUAUCCUAAUUCAGUGUAAUUAUCCAAUUGUGCCUGGAUUUUGACUAUGCGAGACACUGGGAAAGUCUUCUGAGAGCCUGGAGAUAUUCUGAAGCAUAACAUGCUGCCAGUGAAGAUUUAUCUACAGUUUCACCUGAUAAGAUUUUUCAUCUUGUUUUGAACAGCAUAAUUUACCAUAGUCAGCAUGCUGUAUUGCAUUCAUAUAUGUAGAGAAGAGCUGGAUUGAUUAUCCUCAGGCUUCCUGCCACUAAACUCAGCAAAUUAGUUGCUCAUGAUUCCAGCAA